rnacentral:rRNA from 1 species
CGCGGCCUAUCAGCUUGUUGGUGGGGUAAUGGCCUACCAAGGCGACGACGGGUAGCCGGCCUGAGAGGGUGUCCGGCCACACUGGGACUGAGAUACGGCCCAGACUCCUACGGGAGGCAGCAGUGGGGAAUAUUGCACAAUGGGCGCAAGCCUGAUGCAGCGACGCCGCGUGGGGGAUGACGGCCUUCGGGUUGUAAACCUCUUUCACCAUCGGCGAAGCCCGUAGCUUUUGUUGUGGGUGACGGUAGGUGGAGAAGAAGCACCGGCCAACUACGUGCCAGCAGCCGCGGUAAUACGUAGGGUGCGAGCGUUGUCCGGAAUUACUGGGCGUAAAGAGCUCGUAGGUGGUUUGUCGCGUUGUCCGUGAAAUUCCCUGGCUUAACUGGGGGCGUGCGGGCGAUACGGGCAGACUGGCGUACUGCAGGGGAGACUGGAAUUCCUGGUGUAGCGGUGGAAUGCGCAGAUAUCAGGAGGAACACCGGUGGCGAAGGCGGGUCUCUGGGCAGUAACUGACGCUGAGGAGCGAAAGCGUGGGGAGCGAACAGGAUUAGAUACCCUGGUAGUCCACGCCGUAAACGGUGGGUACUAGGUGU